CCAAAAUCAAUACUUUGAGAGUAUAAAAAAAGGGGAAAAAUAGUAGUAGUAUUGGAAAAAGUGACUAGCCCAAUAAAUAAACAUCGAAUUUAUCCGUGGCUCAGUCCUACUCCUUCCUGACAUAACAUGAGCAUGUGGAAGGCUUAACCCAUUGACUCUUGUAGUUGCUUGAGAUCAAGGUUUACCGAACUGGUACCGGGAUCUAUAUCGGUCAGCGUUCGGUUCGGUACGGUACCGACGCAUGGUAUGGUAGGGCGUGUUGGUUCUAAUUGACACACCCAUUUUUUUGGAGUAUUUCAAGUUGAUUUAAUUGAGAUAUCACUUUUUUUGAACUUUCUCAAUAUUUGUAAGUCUAAUUUGUUUUUUUUUAUGUUUCUUAAUGUUUCUAUGAUUUUAGUUUAACCUAAAUGAUGCAUCUUAUUGUUUUAAAAUAUUACAAAUUAUAAAAUGAUUAUCUCACCGUUGCAUGCUAUAAGAAGCAACAUGAAAUAUCCUCAAAUUAAGUAGUAAGAUAAAAAUUAUAAAAUAAUAUAAUCAAUUACAUACAUUUAAAGGACAACAUACAUACUGAUAUCAAAAAUUGGGUCGAGUAGCGAUGUCUCUCGUAGAUAUUCGGAUUAUCAGUAUAGUCAGGAGGCACAUUAGCUCACCCCUCUAACCAAGCGACAUUGUAGUCUUGUAUAUUCAUCUCAUAACGAACGCGUUCCGGAUUAUAAGCAGUCUUGAAUCUCUCGCUGAAGCUGUGACUCUGAGAGGUGUGUCCUCUAGCUGAUAAACUGGCUGAUAAAACGAUUGUGAAGGGCCCAUCCGAAUAAAGCCGACAACAAAAAUCUAUCCGUAAGAUGCUCCGAGCUGAAUUAGGUAGUAGUCACCGAAAGAUACCUCAGAUGCAUCAUAUCUAUAUCCAUAUCCGUAUGGGUCAUAGGCUGCCUGUGGCUGUAGAUAAUAGGAUUCAGUAUACGACUCGAAAUCUGAUACGUCUAUGCAUUCUACUCCACGUGCAAGGUCAUCUGCAGCUGCAUUGUGUCUCCUAAAUUACCUCAAGGAGCUCGUUUCCUAUAGUAAUCAGAUUCUGGCGGGUUCCACCAGAUCGUGCACCGUGGUCCCUAUCUUGUGUAGCAUGCAUAAACUGACUCACUGGUGAAUCGAAGACCAUCGUGCGGUUGUCUCAUAAUCGAAGACCACCGCCGUUUAUGAGAUAGCAACACGAUAGUCUUCGAUUCACCGGUGAGUCUUACUUUAUGCAUGCUCCACAGGAUAGGGACCAUUGUGUACGAUCUAGUGGAGCCCCUAGGAUCCGAUUGCAUAUAGGAGACGAGCUUCUCGAGGUCAUUCAGGAGGAUAUGAUGCAGCUGCAGAUGACCUCGCAUGUGGAGUAGGAUCUGUAGACGUAUCAGGUUUCGAGUCGUAUACUAGAUCCUAUUAUCCGCAGUCAUAGAUAGCCCAUGAUCCAUACGGAUAUGGAUAUGAUGCAUUUGAGGCAUCUUCCGGUGGCUACUACCCUACGCAGCCUGAAGCAUCUUACGGGUUGGAUGUUUUUGCCAGCUUAUUCGGAUGGGCUCCUUCAUAGCCGUUUUAUCAGCCAGAGGAUACCUCUCAGAGCCAGAGCUUUAGCAAGAGAUCCGAGAUUGCUUACAACUCGGAGCACG
rnacentral:lncRNA from 1 species